rnacentral:lncRNA from 1 species
UGAAUUAAUGCUUCAAGAAUUUAGAGGUUGGAAGCUUAAAACUCGUUCUUAAAUGCUCACUUAAUGUGAUUGAAUUUUCUUUUUAUUUUUCUCUUUCUCUUUGCUCUUCUCCUUUUUUAGUAUCUUUAAAACCUCUUAAAAUGUCCAAAAAAUCAGUUCUAGCUGUUGGGGACCAAAAACUAACUAUUAGACUCAAUCU